rnacentral:rRNA from 1 species
GACGAACCGUGCGAACGUUGUUCGGAAUCACUGGGCUUAAAGGGCGCGUAGGCGGGCGAUCAAGUCAGAGGUGAAAUCCUGCGGCUCAACCGUAGAAGAGCCCCUGAUACUGAUUGUCUCGAGGGAGAUAGGGGCAUGUGGAACUUCCGGUGGAGCGGUGAAAUGCGUAGAUAUCAGGAGGAACACCUGCGGUGUAGACGGCUUUCUGGACCAUAACUGACGCUGAGAUACGAAAGCGUGGGUAGCAAACAGG